rnacentral:rRNA from 1 species
UAAACCAUGCACCGAAGCUGCGGCAGCGACGCUUAUGCGUUGUUGGGUAGGGGAGCGUUCUGUAAGCCUGUGAAGGUGGCCUGUGAGGGUUGCUGGAGGUAUCAGAAGUGCGAAUGCUGACAUAAGUAACGAUAAAGCGGGUAGAAAAGCCCGCUCGCCGGAAGACCAAGGGUUCCUGUCCAACGUUAAUCGGGGCAGGGUGAGUCGACCCCUAAGGCGAGGCCGAAAGGCGUAGUCGAUGGGAAACGGGUUAAUAUUCCCGUACUUGGUGUUACUGCGAAGGGGGGACGGAGAAGGCUAUGUUGGCCGGGCGACGGUUGUCCCGGUUUAAGCGUGUAGGUGUGUGUUCCAGGUAAAUCCGGUUCACUUUAACACUGAGGCGUGAUGACGAGGCACUACGGUGCUGAAGUAACAAAUGCCCUGCUUCCAGGAAAAGCCUCUAAGCAUCAGGUAACAUCAAAUCGUACCCCAAACCGACACAGGUGGUCAGGUAGAGAAUACCAAGGCGCUUGAGAGAACUCGGGUGAAGGAACUAGGCAAAAUGGUGCCGUAACUUCGGGAGAAGGCACGCUGACACGUAGGUGAAGUGAUUUACUCACGGAGCUGAAGUCAGUCGAAGAUACCAGCUGGCUGCAACUGUUUAUUAAAAACACAGCACUGUGCAAACACGAAAGUGGACGUAUACGGUGUGACGCCUGCCCGGUGCCGGAAGGUUAAUUGAUGGGGUCAGCGCAAGCGAAGCUCCUGAUCGAAGCCCCGGUAAACGGCGGCCGUAACUAUAACGGUCCUAAGGUAGCGAAAUUCCUUGUCGGGUAAGUUCCGACCUGCACGAAUGGCGUAAUGAUGGCCAGGCUGUCUCCACCCGAGACUCAGUGAAAUUGAACUCGCUGUGAAGAUGCAGUGUACCCGCGGCAAGACGGAAAGACCCCGUGAACCUUUACUAUAGCUUGACACUGAACAUUGAGCCUUGAUGUGUAGGAUAGGUGGGAGGCUUUGAAGCGUGGACGCCAGUCUGCGUGGAGCCGACCUUGAAAUACCACCCUUUAAUGUUUGAUGUUCUAACGUGGACCCGUGAUCCGGGUUGCGGACAGUGUCUGGUGGGUAGUUUGACUGGGGCGGUCUCCUCCUAAAGAGUAACGGAGGAGCACGAAGGUUGGCUAAUCCUGGUCGGACAUCAGGAGGUUAGUGCAAUGGCAUAAGCCAGCUUGACUGCGAGCGUGACGGCGCGAGCAGGUGCGAAAGCAGGUCAUAGUGAUCCGGUGGUUCUGAAUGGAAGGGCCAUCGCUCAACGGAUAAAAGGUACUCCGGGGAUAACAGGCUGAUACCGCCCAAGAGUUCAUAUCGACGGCGGUGUUUGGCACCUCGAUGUCGGCUCAUCACAUCCUGGGGCUGAAGUAGGUCCCAAGGGUAUGGCUGUUCGCCAUUUAAAGUGGUACGCGAGCUGGGUUUAGAACGUCGUGAGACAGUUCGGUCCCUAUCUGCCGUGGGCGCUGGAGAACUGAGGGGGGCUGCUCCUAGUACGAGAGGACCGGAGUGGACGCAUCACUGGUGUUCGGGUUGUCAUGCCAAUGGCACUGCCCGGUAGCUAAAUGCGGAAGAGAUAAGUGCUGAAAGCAUCUAAGCACGAAACUUGCCCCGAGAUGAGUUCUCCCUGAGACUUAGAGUCUCCUGAAGGAACGUUGAAGACGACGACGUUGAUAGGCCGGGUGUGUAAGCGCAGCGAUGCGUUGAGCUAACCGGUACUAAUGAACCGUGAGGCUUAACCUUACAACGCCGAAG